GUAAAGAACAUUUCCAGGUCAUUUUACAAGAGUGGGUCUGUGGAGGUUCAUUGGUACCAUACCUAGUGCACUAGCGUAUCUUGAGUUACUGUAACUGAAACUUUAUUUUGGGCUAACAGUCUUUUCUCCUUUGGAUUCAUCAGUCUAAUCUCAGACCUGAACAAACUGCUCUAGAAGGGAGACAACCAACCAGGAGGCCGGACACCAGAACGGCCAGAAAGGCGAGAACAGCCACCCAGAGCCUGGGUCUCUGCCUUUUGAAGACAGUUCUUAUUUUUCAUAUAUCCUACA